CAGCAAGAUCCAGUCACACAGGAAAGAGCCCUGGGCCAGCAAGACCAGCAGGCCUUGAUGAGUGUGCGGGUGGCACUGCCGUUUACCUUGUAAUACUUGGCAAACCUGGGACAGCAUGACCCUGAAGAGCAUGGCGGUGGGCACCCACCCAUCACCCAAGACGAGAAGCUCCAAGACUCCAGUGACCCCUGAUCUGGACCUUGAAGCACCUGCCCUGUUAUUUUAGAGCCACUACAACCCGGGCAGACGAGGACCCAGGCAUCCCAAGGCCAAGGGCCAGGGUUGGCCAAGACUGCAAAGGGGGCUGGCUGUAAUGGAGACCCGCCACUCGCCGCUAGGAGCCAGCACCGGAGG